rnacentral:rRNA from 1 species
CUCAGAUUGAACGCUGGCGGCAUGCCUUACACAUGCAAGUCGAACGGCAGCACGGGAGCAAUCCUGGUGGCGAGUGGCGAACGGGUGAGUAAUAUAUCGGAACGUGCCCAGUCGUGGGGGAUAACGCAGCGAAAGCUGUGCUAAUACCGCAUACGAUCUCUGGAUGAAAGCGGGGGACUCGUAAGAGCCUCGCGCGAUUGGAGCGGCCGAUAUCAGAUUAGCUAGUUGGUGGGGUAAAGGCCCACCAAGGCGACGAUCUGUAGCUGGUCUGAGAGGACGACCAGCCACACUGGAACUGAGACACGGUCCAGACUCCUACGGGAGGCAGCAGUGGGGAAUUUUGGACAAUGGGCGCAAGCCUGAUCCAGCAAUGCCGCGUGCAGGAUGAAGGCCUUCGGGUUGUAAACUGCUUUUGUACGGAACGAAAAGGUCUGCCUUAAUACGGUGGGCCCAUGACGGUACCGUAAGAAUAAGCACCGGCUAACUACGUGCCAGCAGCCGCGGUAAUACGUAGGGUGCGAGCGUUAAUCGGAAUUACUGGGCGUAAAGCGUGCGCAGGCGGUUAUAUAAGACAGAUGUGAAAUCCCCGGGCUCAACCUGGGACCUGCAUUUGUGACUGUAUAGCUAGAGUACGGUAGAGGGGGAUGGAAUUCCGCGUGUAGCAGUGAA